rnacentral:tRNA from 1 species
GGCUGUAUAGCUCAGUAGCAGAGUGCAUGCUUAGUGUGCACAAGGUCCUGGGUUCAAUCCCAGUAACUCCA